rnacentral:rRNA from 1 species
CGACAGGCCUAACACAUGCAAGUCGAGGGGCAGCACAAGGAGCAAUCUGAGGUGGCGACCGGCGCACGGGUGAGUAACACGUAUGCAACCUGCCUGUAAGCGGGGAAUAACCCGUUGAAAGACGGACUAAUACCGCAUAAUACUAAAUUACUGCAUGGUAAUUUAUUUAAACAUUUAUGGCUUACAGAUGGGCAUGCGCAUGAUUAGCUAGUUGGAGAGGUAACGGCUCCCCAAGGCAACGAUCAUUAGGGGUUCUGAGAGGAAGGUCCCCCACACUGGUACUGAGGCACGGACCAGACUCCUACGGGAGGCAGCAGUGAGGAAUAUUGGUCAAUGGACGAGAGUCUGAACCAGCCAAGUCGCGUGCAGGAAGAAUGUUCCCUAUGGAUUGUAAACUGCUUUUGCAGGGGAAUAAAGUGCAUCACGUGUGAUGUUUUGUAUGUACUCUGCGAAUAAGGAUCGGCUAACUCCGUGCCAGCCGCUGC